rnacentral:rRNA from 1 species
UACAGAGGGUGCUAGCGUUGUUCGGAAUCAUUGGGCGUAAAGGGCGUGUAGGCGGUUUGUUAAGUCAUGUGUGAAAUCCCUCGGCUCAACCGGGGAACGACGCAUGAAACUGGCAAGCUAGAGUACCAAAGAGGGGGGUGGAAUUCCCGGUGUAGCGGUGAAAUGCGUAGAUAUCGGGAAGAACACCCGUGGCUAAGGCGGCUCUCUAGUACGUGACUGACGCUGAGACGCGAAAGCGUGGGGAGCGAACAGG